ACUGAAGACAGACUAUUUGUAUUUCUUAUUUAAAAAUGUCCACAACACUGGCAAUGAAACAAAAUACAAUUGCAUAUGACAUAAUUUUUAUAAAAUUAUUUUUAAUGCUAGGUCAAAUGAAUUGUUCAUUCAUCCUCUCUCUGACCAACCAAUAUUUAUAGACCAUUUCCUUUGUGCAAAAAGCUGUACUGAGAAUCCAAAAAGGUAUAUAUCUGAUCUCUGCCGCCAAUUAGUUUACAACAGAACUGCUGGGGAAAGAAGAGGUGGAGCAGAGUGCCUGCCAGAUCUGGAGUACAGAAGAGGAUAAAGCCCUGGAGUCAGAGAGCCACAUGAGAGAAGGAGCUUGGGCCCGGAAUCAUUGUCGGAGCAGAGCAUACCACCCUCAAUCCACAUCAGACUGACACGAACAAGAAAAACUUCCUUUGGCAAAGCAUUGCAGGCACGUGGUGAGCACAGGAAAAAACUGACCAAUCUUCAAAGAGAAAUGGAAAGCAAUGAAGACAUCUCAGAAAUUUGAGGUUUUGAAGUGUUAGGGAAAAAAAAUUGCUUCUAGACCCCAGACAGUAAGAAGCAAAAUUGAAAAAAGCUCGAACAAAGGCCCAGUAAAUUUUCUCAGUUGUAUAAAGUCACUUAGAUUGAACAUGAAA